UACGUAGGGGGCUAGCGUUGUCCGGAAUCAUUGGGCGUAAAGGGUGCGUAGGUGGCGAGGCAAGUCGGCUGUGAAAUCCCGGAGCUCAACUCCGGAAUUGCCUCCGAUACUGCCGUGCUUGAGGACUGGAGAGGAGAUUGGAAUUCACAGUGGAGCAGUGAAAUGCGUAGAUAUUGUGAGGAACACUAGUGGCGAAGGCGAAUCUCUGGACAGUUCCUGACGCUGAGGCACGAAGGCCAGGGGAGCAAACGGG
rnacentral:rRNA from 1 species